GUGGCUGGCGGCUGGGUGCCUUCUACUGGUGGUGUGCAGAGGCUUUCCCUAAGGCUGCUGUGAGCCUGUAGGGUUUCCCCCUAGGCUACUAAGCUGG
rnacentral:pre_miRNA from 1 species